rnacentral:rRNA from 1 species
UAGGGAAUCUUCGGCAAUGGACGGAAGUCUGACCGAGCAACGCCGCGUGAGUGAAGAAGGUUUUCGGAUCGUAAAGCUCUGUUGUAAGAGAAGAACGAGUGUGAGAGUGGAAAGUUCACACUGUGACGGUAUCUUACCAGAAAGGGACGGCUAACUACGUGCCAGCAGCCGCAGUAAUACGUAGGUCCCGAGCGUUGUCCGGAUUUAUUGGGCGUAAAGCGAGCGCAGGCGGUUAGAUAAGUCUGAAGUUAAAGGCUGUGGCUUAACCAUAGUACGCUUUGGAAACUGUUUAACUUGAGUGCAAGAGGGGAGAGUGGAACUCCAUGUGUAGCGGUGAAAUGCGUAGAUAUAUGGAGGAACACCGGUGGCGAAAGCGGCUCUCUGGCUUGUAACUGACGCUGAGGCUCGAAAGCGUGGGGAGCAAACAGGAUUAGAUACCCUGGUAGUCCACGCCGUAAACGAUGAGUGCUAGGUGUUAGACCCUUUCCGGGGUUUAGUGCCGUAGCUAACGCAUUAAGCACUCCGCCUGGGGAGUACGACCGCAAGGUUG